CCAAUAGCGUAUAUUAAAGUUGUUGCAGUUAAAAAGCUCGUAGUUGAAUUUCGAGAUCAAAUUGUUGGUCGUGCCUUGGUACGCACUGGCAUUAUUGGUUUCUCCCUUCUGACGAACCAUGAUGUCAUUAAUUUGGUGUCUUGGGGAAUCGGGACUGUUACUUUGAAAAAAUUAGAGUGUUUAAAGCAGGCUCACGCUGGUAUACAUUAGCAUGGAAUAAUGAAAUAGGACGUUUGAUUCUAUUUUGUUGGUUUCUAGGAUCGACGUAAUGAUUAAUAGGGAUAGUUGGGGGCAUUAGUAUUCAAUUGUCAGAGGUGAAAUUCUUGGAUUUAUUGAAGACUAACUACUGCGAAAGCAUUUGCCAAGGAUGUUUUUAUUAAUCAAGAACGAAAGUUAGGGGAUCGAAGACGAUCAGAUACCGUCGUAGUCUUAACCAUAAACUAUGCCGACUAGGGAUCGGAUGAUGUUAAUUUUUUAAUGACUCAUUCGGCGCCUUACG
rnacentral:rRNA from 1 species